rnacentral:rRNA from 3 species
UUCCGUAGGUGAACCUGCGGAGGGAUCAU